GGGGUCAUUUUGAGAAAGAUCAUCCAGGAUGGACCAGAACUGGUUGACUUGCUGUAAAACAUCCCCUGUGCUGCCAGACAUCUUGAGAUCCAGCCCAAGAAUUCAGCAACGUUGGUGUAAACCCCUGGAUGGUUGGGCUCAGCACAGCCUGUCCCCCAGCUGACGACCCCUACCAGCCUCCAUACAUUUUCAUCCUGGCAAACCAGAGGACCCCCACUGUCCCCCUGGAGAGUCCGUAGCCCCGGCCCUUUAAGUGCUGGAAGGUCAGCUGUCUUACUUGUGCACACAAUGGGCAGCUGUGACUACCCAUUGA